rnacentral:rRNA from 1 species
UACGUAGGGUGCAAGCGUUGUCCGGAAUUAUUGGGCGUAAAGAGCUCGUAGGCGGUCCGUCACGUCGGCUGUGAAAACCUGGGGCUCAACCCCGGGCCUGCAGCCGAUACGGGCGGACUAGAAUUCGGUAGGGGAGACGUGGAAUUCCUGGUGUAGCGGUGAAAUUCGUAGAUAUUAGGAGGAACACCCGUGGCGAAAGCGGCCAUCUGGAUCACAAUUGACGCUGAUGUACGAAAGCGGUGGGUAGC